rnacentral:rRNA from 1 species
AAACAAACCAAUCGUACGCUCGCUCGCUCAUCAAUUUCAGCAGCCAUUCCACGACCGCCCAGAGAAGACUCGCCUCCUCCCGAGCUCCCCUCUCCGUCCUCGUCGUCUCCCUCUCCCGCUUCCCCCCACCCAACCAACACGCUACGCCAGGCGCGAGAGGCACCAGCGGCCAUGAAGGGCGGCGGAGCCAUCAGGAGCGGCGGCGGGGGAGGCGGCGGGCUGAUGCGGACGCGGCUGCGGCUCCCCGUGGUGCUCCUCUCCUGCUCCCUCUUCUUCCUCGCCGGCUUCCUCGGCUCCCUCCUCUUCACCCAGGAUCCGCAGGGGGAGGAGGACGUGGAGCGGCCGCUGCGGAGGGAGCGGCUCAUGGAGGCGGUCUGGCCGGAGAUGGCGUACGGGGAGUCCGGCGAGCCCACGCCCUCCUUGAUCCCUUACCAGAUUUUGAGCUGGCAACCCCGUGCAUUAUAUUUUCCACAAUUUGCAACAGCAGAACAGUGUGAGAAUGUAGUAAAAACUGCGAAGGCACGGCUUAGGCCAUCAACAUUGGCCUUAAGGAAAGGAGAAAGCGAGGAGACUACCAAAGGAAUAAGGACAAGCUCAGGCACAUUCCUUAGUGCCGAAGAAGAUCCAACUGGAGCCCUUGCAGAAAUUGAAAAGAAGAUUGCGAAGGCUACCAUGAUGCCAAGAAGUCAUGGAGAGCCAUUUAAUGUCCUUCGGUAUGAGAUUGGACAGAAGUAUGCUUCACACUAUGAUGCAUUUGACCCGGCUCAAUAUGGUCCACAAAAAAGUCAAAGGGUGGCAUCUUUCUUGCUCUACCUCACGGAUGUCGAGGAAGGUGGAGAAACCAUGUUCCCAUAUGAGAAUGGGGAUAAUAUGAACAUAGGCUACGACUACGAACAGUGCAUCGGCUUAAAGGUGAAACCGAGGAAGGGGGAUGGCCUCUUGUUUUACUCCCUUAUGCUAAAUGGUACCAUUGAUCCGACUUCACUUCAUGGAAGCUGCCCAGUGGUCAAAGGAGAGAAAUGGGUCGCCACAAAAUGGAUUAGAGACAGAGGCUCCACGUCCUAAAUAGAUCAACACAUACAUAGUAAUCAUUUUUUUCUACACCAUCUUGUACCUGUACAUUACAUUUAUUCAAUUUCCAUCGGCCUUCAUGAACCAGUGAGGUAGGGGAAAAAACAACUUGCAGUUUCCAUCUGCUAAUUUGACAGUCGUGUUAGUCUAAUCUUGGUGGCUGGGUCAUGUAUCUUUUCUUUUCUACUUCCUUCGUCCCAGAAUAUACCUGAACUUAUAGCUUUGUCGUAAGUCAAACAUUUGCUUAUGUUUGACUAACUCUAGAAAAAUAUGAACAUCAACUGUAUAUAAAAUAAUAUUAUGUUGUAGAUAAUGGUACUCCCUCC